UAAUACAGAGACCUCAAGCGUUAUCCGGAAUCAUUGGGCGUAAAGCGUACCGAUAGGUUGUUUAUUAAGUCUUGGGUAAAAGCCGGAAGCUCAACUUCCGCGUUUGCUUAAGAUACUAAUAGACUAGAGGGGCAAAGAGGUGCUUGGAACCAACGGUGUAGUAGUGAAAUGCGUUGAUAUCGUUGGGAACACCGAAAGCGAAGGCAGAGCACUGGGUGCCACCUGACACUGCUAGGACGAAAGCGUGGGGAGCGAAUGGGAUUAGAUACCCCAGUAGUCCACGCUGUAAACGAUGAAUACUAGGCAUACGCGAGUAUCGACCCUCGUAUGUGCCGUAGCUAACGCGUUAAGUAUUCCGCCUGGGGAGUACGGUCGCAAGACUA
rnacentral:rRNA from 1 species